rnacentral:misc_RNA from 1 species
GCACUGAAACGAAACUUUUCUGCAUUAAAAAACUGCAGUUAGUCCAAGUUAAAUUUCAAAAAGUACAAGUCAUAUCAGAAAGAGAAGUCUCAUUAUCAAUGCAAGCGAAGUCUGUGUCAGUAUCAGCAAAGACAUAAGUUGAAUCCAUGUUUACACAUGCAGAGUAUGUUGCAAGUUCCACCAGCAUUUCAACUAGCAAAUGAAAUCCUUUUACAGAUGAUGAACAAAUCAUAUUUGGGUACAAUAAAUGGCAGAGUGAUACAGAAACAUAAAAAGUAACAUGGUGCCAAUGCCAAAGUGAAUAUUGUUAGGGCCAGAGAAAUAUGACUCAAAUAGACUGGACUUAAGUCAGAGAAAUAUUGUUUUUUCCAGAGCAAUACCAUUUUCUGGAUGUUUUUUUUUUAAU